CAAUGUUUUUGUUUACAAACCGAAAUGACUCUGUGAUAUUUUCAUGCAAGUGCAAUCAGUUAGUUAAAUUUUUAGUAAAUAAGUUGAUGCCUGAAGAAGCUCUAAAUAAACAGAGCGAAAUAUUGCA